CCUACGGGAGGCAGCAGUGGGGAAUAUUGCACAAUGGGGGAAACCCUGAUGCAGCGACGCCGCGUGAGUGAAGAAGUAUUUCGGUAUGUAAAGCUCUAUCAGCAGGGAAGAAAAUGACGGUACCUGAUUAAGAAGCCCCGGCUAACUACGUGCCAGCAGCCGCGGUAAUACGUAGGGGGCAAGAGUUAUCCGGAUUUACUGGGUGGAAAGGGAGCGUAGACGGCAGCACAAGUCUGGAGUGAAAUGCCGGGGCUUAACCCCGGAACUGCUUUGGAAACUGUGCAGCUAAGGUGCAGGAGAGGGAAGUGUAAUUCCUAGUGUAGCGGUGAAAUGCGUAGAUAUUAGGAUGAACACCAGUGGCGAAGGCGGCUUACUGGACUGUAACUGACAUUGAGGCUCGAAAGCGUGGGGAGCAAACAGGAUUAGAUACCCUUGUAGUC
rnacentral:rRNA from 1 species